ACUUUAGAAAAAUAAAACAUAUUUUAAUGAAAGAUAAAAAUUUUAAAUUAAGGUUUUCACAUUUUUAUUUUAUUAUAGAUUGGAGAUUAGAAAUAGAAAUUAUUAUAAUUCACGAAAUAAUAAGUAAAUAAAAGGAAAUGUAGUUAGUGGGAAGGAAUGAAAUGAGAGAAUUAGGUUUAGUUUUUGGGCGGUAUUCAAGUGGAAGCAUGAGACGAAGAGAAGCAGAUUGUUUGUUGAGAUCGGAUCGGCAGCCCUAGACCCCAAGUCACCAAAACUCCGUCGAGACUGUCUCUCACGCACACCUCAGGAAUAGGAGGUAGAUAAAAAGAAGAUAUAGCCAUGCUGCUGAUAGAUGGGAAAUCGAUUCGGCACUUGCCGUCUAAUUACGAGAAUUGGUCAUCCACUGUAAUCUUCUUUAUAGAAGAUGAAGAUUUUGUCCAUGCCUUGGCUAAGGAUACUAUUUCUUCUAGAUUCAACAACAAUUACUUCAUUGUCUCCUACGGCCUACCAACGAACCUUGUUUCUUAAAAUGAAAUUGGGACAUACCGAUGGUGGCCGUAAAUUGUACUUUGUUGGUUACACCGAAUUAGAUGAUGAUGGUCAUUUAUUUUAUCCUCUCGAAAUCAAAGUUUAUGAUAUUCCCAAGAGGAAAUGGAUGGACAGCAUCCCAAAGUUGAAAGCUCCCACGUGUUACCCACUCGUCUUCUUCAUUGAUCACUGGCUUUAUGUGAUCUCUUUUGAUAUUCCCGAGGGCGGACAGCCACAGCCACACUUUGAGAUGCUGAAUAUCAGUUAUCUUUCUAAAGGAUGGGUUUCACUACCUCUACCCAAUACCCUUUUGUAUCCUGUAGUUACCUAUAAACUUGCCACUCUGAUUGUUGACGGUGGUCAUUCAAACGAGACCACCCUAUAUGUAUAGUCGCGUGACGGCUACAUUCUUCUUGCUUUCAGCUUCAAGGAUCAGACUUGGUAUACCUAUACCAUUGGAAAACCAUUGACACCUCUCACGGGUCAUCUUUUGUCAUUAUCUUGGUGGGAUCAUCUUGUUAUCGUAGAAAAUCACUUGUACUCAUUCCAAAGGAACAAGUCACAAUUUUUGCUAAUCAUUCGUGAUUUGGAGUCCAUCCCCGACAAUAAAGUUGAUGAAGGAACAAUAAUAUGUGAGUUUGACGUAACAAACACUGUUCACCAAGAUGUUCUUAACGAUAAACGUGCUCUUUACUCUCUUCGUUAUCUAGGAAAGAAGGGUUCAUGCCGAAGGUUCUUUGUGGCUAUCCUCUACUCUCCCAGGAACUACCAUUCUCUUGUGUCUACAUGCACGCUUGAUCUGAGUGACGAGUUUAAGGUCCAGAAAUCUUCCUGCCAGAACAAACCUCUAAACCCGGGUCCGUAUCUCAUGCAUCCACUUCAAUGCGAGGUGUUAUGUGAAGUCAAAGAUGAUUAAAUUGUCCAUUUGGUCGUACCAGUAAUCUUGCUUCUGAUUGGAUUCGAGGAGGAAACCAACGCAGCUGCAGACAAUUUGGCUGUGGAAGGAACGACGCGAGCAUGUUUUGGAGAACUUUACCUUUCUGCCUACCCCUCCUUUAUUUUGCUUUGUUUUGCUAGAGGGAUAGUUCUUAAGACAUAUUUGUUAGGAAAACUACUAGUACUAGUAAUAUUUUGGCUCGCUUUAAGAACUUAUUUGCUCUAAGGAGCUGUACUAUUUGUAAUUAAUGACGACGCUCUUUAAUUUGUUAUUAACAUAAAUCAACUACUUUUACCAGAAAAAGGCAGUGCAUAAUGUGUCUGAUGCGGAAAUGCUUAUUUCUAGCAGAUUUGUCAAUCAUGCAGCUGGUAUAGAUUGUUAAUGAGUUAAAUCUAAUAAUAAUUUGGUCAAGAAAAUUGAAUCAGAUGGGACUAAAUUUUGUUUUGCAAACUAUUUGAGUGUGUCUAUCUGAUUGUUGAAGAGAGGGUUUUUCCAAAGCUAUUGCUAUUGUUUUCAUUUACUGCCAAGCUAUUGUGACUGCAUAUACAUAAUUAAAAUGAUUUUCACUCAGAUUUUAUUCUUUACCAUCUAUGUUUGUUAUUUUAUAUGCAGCUACAACAGCUUUGGUGCAUAGACACAACCAAAGAUGGUCAACAUACUACACAUGAUUGAGCUUUUGCUUAAAGUUGUCACAACAUCAAGGGAAUCAAAUGCUUAAUUGAACCACCAUUGCAGCCAGAAUCGCCUAUGAAUCUUUGCUAUGCCAUGCCCCCUGUUGCAGAGCAGGGUGUUGUGAACAAUAACAGCACACCAUUUUUGCUUACUUCUGAUAUCAUUGCAGACCCCCAACUUGAGGUCUACUUUCGAUUAUUUUGAUUCUGAGUUGGUGGUUACAGAUGAGUUGUACGGUUUAGCUUGCUUUCAGUAAAUAUAAUGAGAUGUCUUUGUUUAUUUUUUUUUUUACUUCUGUAGUUUAAUUAAAUUAUAUUUGGAUUUCCUCAUACGAUUUCAAUAUUUAUUGGUACUUAUUUUUAGUUAUGUAACAAAUCUCUAAAGAUUAACUAUUCUUAUAUUUUAAACGA